GUUUGCCCUAUUCCUCCACUUCCCUGUCUGUGAAGUGUUUUGUUAUUAAAUGAAAAAUCAUACAGUGAUAGACUCAUAUAGGGUGGUGUAUGGGAACCAUUAGGUUAUGGCCUGAACCAGUGAUUGAGCACCUGAUGAAGGGGCAUAACCAGCCCUGGGAGCACAGGUGCUAGGAAUUCACCUCUGUGGCCAGAAGGGGUGGGCCCUGGGUCCAUCUCUCUCUAACUUCUUUAAAGAGCUGGCAGCCAAAGAGGAACCAGUUCUACUUAGAAACUGUCUCCUAGGGGAGUUUUCAGCAAGCCCUCAUCUUUGGAAGGGGGAUUUGUUGCAGACUGGGAGACGUGCAUUCUGUUUGCAAGCUGACAAAGUCUGUUCUACAUUCUGCUCCCAGCUACGUGACCAGGUUGUCUCUGUGCUAGGAAAAGAAAGCCACAAAAAUCCAACUCAACAGCAGCAUGUAGGCUCAGUGCUCAAAGAGUUGAUAAAAACUUUCGGAUGUUAGCUUACCACCUUCUUCACCCCAGCAGUUUCAAGCCAGUCAUAUUUCAAAGCGAUUCAAGGGCUCUUUUUUCCAAUGAAUAGUGCUUAAAAAAUAGCAGGCUGAAAUGAGGAUCAUAACAGUACUGUAACUAUUAUUAGGAAAUUAUCAUCUGGGAAAGUCCUCGGAGAUAUCGUGGGGCUGUUUUGUGUUGUUCCCCAAUAAAGAGCAGAAGGCACCUGCCAUUUAGUUAAUUGCCUAAUCUUGGCCUAUUUUAGAACCUCAUUUCAGAUGAAAGUCUAUAUGCUAAUCAAAACAAAAUACUAUCAACCGUGGUCCAGAUGUGAGUGAUAGCUUUAGAAAAGCACUUUAAAAUGCUUGCAAUUUGUAUUUUUGUGUUAAGUCAGCUUAUAAUUCAUGA